rnacentral:misc_RNA from 1 species
GUAGGUGAACCUGCGGAAGGAUCAUUAACGAAUAACUAUGGUGUCUUGGUUGUAGCUGGCUCCUCGGAGCAAUGUGCACACCCGCCAUUUUUAUCUUUCCACCUGUGCACCGACUGUAGGUCUGGAUACCUCUCGUCUCUCUCACAAGGAGAGGCGGAUGCGAGGAUUGCUCGUAAGGGCUCUCUUCGAAUUUCCAGGCUCUACGUCUUUUUACACACCCCAAUAGUAUGAUGUAGGAUGUAGUCAAUGGGCUUCUCAGCCUAUAAAACACUAUACAACUUUCAGCAACGGAUCUCUUGGUUCUG